rnacentral:rRNA from 1 species
CGGCGGACGGGUGAGUAACACGUGGAUAACCUACCUAUAAGACUGGGAUAACUUCGGGAAACCGGAGCUAAUACCGGAUAAUAUAUUGAACCGCAUGGUUCAAUAGUGAAAGACGGUUUUGCUGUCACUUAUAGAUGGAUCCGCGCCGCAUUAGCUAGUUGGUAAGGUAACGGCUUACCAAGGCAACGAUGCGUAGCCGACCUGAGAGGGUGAUCGGCCACACUGGAACUGAGACACGGUCCAGACUCCUACGGGAGGUAGCAGCA